AACGAACGCUGGCGGCGUGCCUAACACAUGCAAGUCGUGCGAGAAAGUUCCUUCGGGAGCGAGUAAAGCGGCGCACGGGUGAGUAACACGUAGGUAACCUGCCCCCCAGUCUGGAACAACUAGAGGAAACUCUAGCUAAUGCCGGAUGAGACCACGAUCCCUUCGGGGGUUGCGGCCAAAGAUGGCCUCUACUUGUAAGCUAUCGCUGAGGGAUGGGGCCUGCGGGCCAUUAGCUUGUUGGUGAGGUAACGGCUCACCAAGGCUGUGAUGGCUAGCUGGUCUGAGAGGAUGACCAGCCACACUGGGACUGAGACACGGCCCAGACUCCUAC
rnacentral:rRNA from 1 species